rnacentral:lncRNA from 10 species
UCAUCACUGUCUUCCUUCUUGGCAUUCUUGCCAUUCUUUGCCCCCUUGGCUGGGAUGGCAGCACCCUUCUUACCAGGAGUUGCUACCAAUGCUUUGCCUGGUGUGGUAACUGCUUUGGCUGGUGUAACUGUCUUCUUGGCAGGUGUUGCUGCUGCCUUUUUGCCUGGAGUGACAGCUGCUUUCUUGGCUGGUGUGGCAAC